rnacentral:rRNA from 1 species
CAACUUUCAGCAACGGAUCUCUUGGCUCUCGCAUCGAUGAAGAACGCAGCGAAAUGCGAUAAGUAGUGUGAAUUGCAGAAUUCAGUGAAUCAUCGAAUUUUUGAACGCAUCUUGCAUCCUUUGGUAUUCCGAAGGGCAUGCCUGUUUGAGUGUCAUGU